rnacentral:tRNA from 2 species
GCCCCCUUAGUCUAGAGGUCAGGACGUCGGGUUUUCAUCCCGGAAACAGGGGUUCGAUUCCCCUAGGGGGCG